rnacentral:rRNA from 1 species
UACGUAGGCAGCGAGCGUUGUUCGGAGUUACUGGGCGUAAAGAGUUCGUAGGCGGUUUUCUAAGUUUGGUGUGAAAUCUCCCGGCUUAACUGGGAGGGUGCGCCGAAAACUGGAAGGCUUGAGUAUGGGAGAGGUAAGCGGAAUUCCUGGUGUAGCGGUGAAAUGCGUAGAUAUCAGGAGGAACACCUGCGGUGUAGACGGCUUACUGGACCAUAACUGACGCUGAGGCACGAAAGCGUGGGUAGCAAACAGG